UACAGAGGUCCCAAGCGUUGUUCGGAUUCACUGGGCGUAAAGGGUGCGUAGGUGGCCAGGUAAGUUCGAUGUGAAAUCUCCGGGCUUAACCCGGAAAGUGCAUUGAAUACUAUCUGGCUAGAGGGUUGGAGGGGGGACUGGAAUUCUCGGUGUAGCAGUGAAAUGCGUAGAUACUGGGAGGAACACCGGUGGCGAAGGCGGCUACCUGGACCGGUUCUGACGCUGAUGCGCGAAAGCGUGGGUAGCAAACAGG
rnacentral:rRNA from 1 species